GGCUAGGUAGCUCAGCUGGUUUAGAGCGCAGGAUUCAUAAUCCUGAGGUCGGGGGUUCGAGUCCCCCCCUAGCUACCA
rnacentral:tRNA from 1 species